rnacentral:rRNA from 1 species
UACGUAGGGGGCAAGCGUUGUCCGGAUUUAUUGGGCGUAAAGAGCGUGUAGGCGGCUAUACAGGUCCGCUGUGAAAACUCGAGGCUCAACCUCGAGACGUCGGCGGAAACCCUCUGGCUAGAGUCCGGAAGAGGAGAGUGGAAUUCCUGGUGUAGCGGUGAAAUGCGCAGAUAUCAGGAAGAACACCCGUGGCGAAGGCGGCUCUCUGGGACGGUACUGACGCUGAGACGCGAAAGCGUGGGGAGCAAACAGG